rnacentral:rRNA from 1 species
GACGAACGCUGGCGGCGUGCUUAACACAUGCAAGUCGAACGGAAAGGCCCUGCUUUUGUGGGGUGCUCGAGUGGCGAACGGGUGAGUAACACGUGAGUAACCAGCCCUUGACUUUGGGAUAACUUCAGGAAACUGGGGCUAAUACCGGAUAGGAGCUCCUGCUGCAUGGUGGGGGUUGGAAAGUUUCGGCGGUUGGGGAUGGACUCGCGGCUUAUCAGCUUGUUGGUGGGGUAGUGGCUUACCAAGGCUUUGACGGGUAGCCGGCCUGAGAGGGUGACCGGCCACAUUGGGACUGAGAUACGGCCCAGACUCCUACGGGAGGCAGCAGUGGGGAAUAUUGCACAAUGGGCGGAAGCCUGAUGCAGCAACGCCGCGUGCGGGAUGACGGCCUUCGGGUUGUAAACCGCUUUCGCCUGUGACGAAGCGUGAGUGACGGUAAUGGGUAAAGAAGCACCGGCUAACUACGUG